rnacentral:rRNA from 1 species
GUGCCAGCCGCCGCGGUAAGACGAAGGUCCCCAGCGUUACCCGGAUUUACUGGGCGUAAAGGACGAGAAGGCGGGAACGUAAGUUUACCCUAAAAGUCACCGAGCUCAACUCGGUGAAUGGGGUAAAUACUGCGUUCCUAGAGUCUGCCAGGGGCCAGCGGAACGGUCGGUGUAGGGGUGAAAUCCGAUGAUAUCGACCGGAACGCCGAAGGCGAAGGCAACUGGCUAGGGCAGUACUGACGCUGAUCUCGUGAAAGCCAGGGGCGCGAACCGGAUUAGAUACCCGGGUAGUCCUGGCCGUAAACGAUGGGUGCUAGCUUUGGGGAGAGUCGACCCUCUCUGAAGCGAAGCUAACGCGUUAAGCACCCCGCCUGGGGAGUAUGUCCGCAAGGCCGAAACUCAAAGGAAUAGGCGGAAGCCCGACCAAGCGGUGGACCAUGUUGCUUAAUUCGAGAGUGACCGAAAAAUCUUACCUGGGCUUGACAUGCUAGUCUUAAUGCCUUCUCCGAAAGGAGAAGGAAUCCAGGCUCUGCCUGGAGGGCUAGCACAGGUGCUGCACGGCCGUCGUCAGCUCGUGGCGUGAGCCGUAACCUUAAGUGGCGCAACGAGCGCAACCCCUACCCUGUGUUACACGUGUCACAGGGGACUGCCUGGUCUACCCAGGAGGAAGGUGGGGAUGACGUCAGGUCCGCGUGGCCCUUAUGCCCAGGGCGGCAAACAUGGUACAAUGCCGGGUACAAAGGGUUGCGAGGCCGCGAGGCUGAGCUAAUCCCUAAAAGCCCGGCCCAGUUCGGAUCGGAGGCUGGAACCCGCCUCCGUGAAGGCGGAAUCGCUAGUAAUCGCGGAUCAGCGAUGCCGCGGUGAAUACGUUCUCGGGCUUUGCACUCACCGCCCGUCAGGUCAGGGGAGUCAUCUCUACCUGAAGUCCUACGUUUGUAGGAUUAGGGUAGGGGUGAUGACCAGGGCUAAGUCGUAACAAGGUAGCC